GCAAACUUGGUCAUUUAGAGGAAGUAAAAGUCGUAACAAGGUUUCCGUAGGUGAACCUGCGGAAGGAUCAUUACAGUGCCGCCGGGACUUGCCCCCUAAACCAGGGCGAGCUCCCGCAACUGGCCACCCGUGUCUACCGAACCUCGUUGCUUUGGCGUGCCCGCGAACCCUUCACCGGGGAACCGCCUUGGGGCUUCUGCCUCGGGCCAGCGCCGCCAGAGGACCACAAUUGAACUCUUUGCUGAUGAGUGACUGUCUGAGUGAUUGAUUUAAUCAUUAAAACUUUCAACAACGGAUCUCUUGGUUCCAGCAUCGAUGAAGAACGCAGC
rnacentral:misc_RNA from 1 species